CGCGCAGGCGGUCUUCUACGUCUGGGGUGAAAACCCGGGGCUCAACCCCGGGACUGCCUUGGAUACGGGAAGACUUGAGGAUCGGAGAGGCAAGGGGAAUUCCACGUGUAGCGGUGAAAUGCGUAGAGAUGUGGAGGAACACCUGUGGCGAAGGCGCCUUGCUGGCCGAUUUCUGACGCUGAGGCGCGAAAGCGUGGGGAGCAAACA
rnacentral:rRNA from 1 species